rnacentral:rRNA from 1 species
UACGUAGGGGGCAAGCGUUGUCCGGAUUUAUUGGGCGUAAAGAGCUCGUAGGCGGCUCGGUAAGUCGGAUGUGAAACCUCCAGGCUCAACCUGGAGACGCCAUCUGAUACUGCCGUGGCUUGAGUCCGGUAGAGGAGCAGGGAAUUCCUGGUGUAGCGGUGAAAUGCGCAGAUAUCGUAAGGAAGACCAGUGGCGAAGGCGGGUCUCUGGACAGUUCCUGACGCUGAGGCACGAAGGUCAGGGGAGCAAACGGG